rnacentral:rRNA from 1 species
AUACGGAGGAUGCGAGCGUUAUCCGGAUUUAUUGGGUUUAAAGGGAGCGUAGGUGGGAUAUUAAGUCAGCUGUGAAAGUUUGGGGCUCAACCUUAAAAUUGCAGUUGAUACUGGUUUCCUUGAGUACGGUACAGGUGGGCGGAAUUCGUGGUGUAGCGGUGAAAUGCUUAGAUAUCACGAAGAACUCCGAUCGCGAAGGCAGCUCACCGGGCCGGAACUGACACUGAUGCUCGAAAGUGCGGGUAUCAAACAGGAUUAGAUACCCUGGUAGUCCGCACAGUAAACGAUGGAUACUCGCUGUCGGCGAUAUACGGUCGGUGGCCAAGCGAAAGCGUUAAGUAUCCCACCUGGGGAGUACGCCGGCAACGGUGAAACUCAAAGGAAUUGACGGGG